UUAAGUGAAAUAAGGGCAUUUGGUGGAUGCCUUGGCGCUAAGAGGCGAUGAAGGACGUGGUACGCUGCGAUAAGCUUCGGGGAGUUGCGAACAGACCGUGAUCCGAAGAUUUCCGAAUGGGGAAACCCACCUUCGAUAUCUUGAACUCUGAGCCUGUCAGCGAUGGCAGGUUUGGACUUCAAGGUAUCACGAGAAGGUAUUCAAUCCUGAAUACAUAGGGGUUGAAAGCGAACCCGGGGAACUGAAACAUCUAAGUACCCGGAGGAAAGGACAUCAACAGAGACUCCGCUAGUAGUGGCGAGCGAACGCGGAUCAGGCCAGUGCUUCAUUGAUGUGAACCGGAACCGUUCAGGAAAGGCGGGCCAUAGUGGGUGAUAGCCCCGUACGGAUAAAGCAUCUUUGAAGACUCGAGUAGGGCGGGACACGUGAAAUCCUGUCUGAACAUGGGGGGACCACCCUCCAAGCCUAAGUACUCCUUAGCGACCGAUAGCGAACAAGUACCGUGAGGGAAAGGUGAAAAGCACCCCGACAAGGGGAGUGAAACAGUUCCUGAAACCGGAUGCCUACAAACAGUUGGAGCUCAAGGUUCGUCCUGGGUGACAGCGUACCUUUUGUAUAAUGGGUCAGCGACUUAGUCUGACGAGCAAGCUUAAGCCGCUAGGCGUAGGCGAAGCGAAAGCGAGUCUGAACAGGGCGUUCAGUUCGUCGGAUUAGACCCGAAACCAGGUGAUCUAGCCAUGAGCAGGCUGAAGGUGCAGUAACAUGCACUGAAGGGCCGAACCGGUGUCUGUUGAAAAAGACUCGGAUGACUUGUGGCUAGGGGUGAAAGGCCAAUCAAACCUGGAAAUAGCUGGUUCUCCGCGAAAGCUAUUUAGGUAGCGCCUCGCAUGUAUGCUCCCGGGGGUAGAGCACUGGAUGGGCUAGGGCCUCUUACCGAGGUACCAAACCUAACCAAACUCCGAAUACCGGGAUGACUUGUGCGGGAGACACACGGCGGGUGCUAACGUCCGUCGUGGAGAGGGAAACAACCCUGACCAACAGCUAAGGCCCCCAAAUCGUGGCUAAGUGUGAAAGGAUGUGAGGAUCCCAAAACAACCAGGAGGUUGGCUUAGAAGCAGCCAUCCUUUAAAGAAAGCGUAACAGCUCACUGGUCUAAAUAAGGGUUCUUGCGCCGAAAAUGUAACGGGGCUCAAGCCACGUGCCGAAGCUUUGGAUUGCGACUGAUUUAUCAGCGCAGUGGUAGCGGAGCGUUCUGUAAGUCUGCGAAGGCGGACCCGUGAGGGCUGCUGGAGAUAUCAGAAGUGCGAAUGCUGACAUGAGUAACGAUCAGGGGUGUGAAAGACACCCCCGCCGAAAGACCAAGGGUUCCUGCGUAAAGCUAAUCUGCGCAGGGUUAGCCGGCCCCUAAGGCGAGGCCGAAAGGCGUAGUCGAUGGGAAUGGGGUGAAUAUUCCCCAGCCAGUGGAUGGUGACGAAUCCCGUGUGUUGUCUGUUCUUAUUGGAUUGAACAGGCCUCGAAGGGGUUCCAGGAAAUAGCCUCCACAUGAGACCGUACCCGAAACCGACACAGGUGGUCAGGUAGAGUAUACCAAGGCGUUUGAGAGAACUACACUGAAGGAACUCGGCAAUCUACCUCCGUAACUUCGGGAUAAGGAGGCCUCGUCAUUGGGCAACCAGUGAGGAGGGGCACAGACCAGGGGGUGGCGACUGUUUACCUAAAACACAGGGCUCUGCGAAACCGUAAGGUGACGUAUAGGGUCUGACGCCUGCCCGGUGCCGGAAGGUUAAAAGGAGGGGUGCAAGCUCUGAAUUGAAGCCCCGGUAAACGGCGGCCGUAACUAUAACGGUCCUAAGGUAGCGAAAUUCCUUGUCGGGUAAGUUCCGACCUGGAUAGGUGGUAGGCUUUGAAGCCGGGGCGCUAGCUCUGGUGGAGCCAUCCUUGAAAUACCACCCUUGUAAAUACGAACGUCUAACUGCGAGCCGUUAUCCGGCUCCAGGACCGCGCAUGGUAGGCAGUUUGACUGGGGCGGUCGCCUCCCAAAGAGUAACGGAGGCGCGCGAUGGUGGGCUCAGACCGGUCGGAAAUCGGUCGUUGAGUGCAAUGGCAUAAGCCUGCCUGACUGCGAGACUGACAAGUCGAGCAGAGACGAAAGUCGGUCAUAGUG
rnacentral:rRNA from 1 species